ensembl:lncRNA
CGCACCCCCCCUGGGGACCAUCGGUGUCACCGUGGCAACGAGUGAUGGUCAGCAGCCGGUGACCUGGGAGCCCUGGAGGGAGCCCUGGCCCUGCCCGGGGUCAGCGGGGUCAAUCAAUCUCAUUGCUAUGCACAGAGAUCUUCGUUACUGCGUAACAUAAAAACACAUCGAUCUCUCCGCCCGGUGCUGUGCGCCUGCGUGGGGCAGAGGGCUCUGAGCCUGAAAUGGGAAAUUUCAGCAUCCAAAGCACUGCAGCAUCUCCAUCCCCGGCGCCCGGUGGCAUCUCCCAGCCCCACACCAGCAGUGCAGCUCCUGCUUCUCCUGCUCCUGUGAGCUCCCAUGGCUCUGCUUUGAGCCUCUGAACUCCCAGCGCUUGUGCAAAGCGGUCGAUCCCUGCACAGAUGGCCCCAAAUCCUCCGUGCCCUGGGAAAUGGGGCUGCCUGGAUCCGGGUGUUCCACCAACUGGUGCGAACCAAAAGGCCAACUCUGCCUGGGCUGUGGCCGCCUCUGCCCGCUGAGCCCGUCCCACUCGUCACACUGAUGGGCCUGGGAAGGGUGUCCUCUGCUGAGGCGCUGCUGCCCACAUCCCUGAGCAUCCAUGUGUCAGUGUCCCUGAGCAUCCU